rnacentral:rRNA from 1 species
UACGGGGGGAGCAAGCGUUGUUCGGAUUUACGGGGCGUAAAGGGCGCGUAGGCGGUCAGCACAGGUCAGUUGUGAAAUCUCCGGGCUUAACUCGGAAAGGUCAACUGAUACUGUGCGACUAGAGUGCGGAAGGGGCAACUGGAAUUCUCGGUGUAGCGGUGAAAUGCGUAGAUAUCGAGAGGAACACCUGCGGCGAAGGCGGGUUGCUGGGCCGACACUGACGCUGAUGCGCGAAAGCCAGGGGAGCGAACGGG